AAGUCGUAACAAGGUUUCCGUAGGUGAACCUGCGGAAGGAUCAUUAAUGAAAUUAUGACUGGGGUUGUAGCUGGCCUAUAAAACGGCAUGUGCACGCUCCUUUCACAAUCCACACACACCUGUGCACCUUCGCGGGGGUCUUUUUUUUCUCUUCGGGGGAAUAAAGGCUCGCGUCCCUUUACACACCCUUUGUAUGUCUUAAGAAUGUCUACUCGAUGUAAUAAAACGCAUCUAAUACAACUUUCAACAACGGAUCUCUUGGCUCUC
rnacentral:misc_RNA from 1 species